UACGUAGGCAGCGAGCGUUGUUCGGAAUUACUGGGCGUAAAGAGUGUGUAGGCGGUGUUCCCAGUCUGUUGUGAAAUCUCCCGGCUUAACUGGGAGGGUGCAGCGGAAACUAGAAUGCUAGAGGGUGGGAGAGGUAAGCGGAAUUCCUGGUGUAGCGGUGAAAUGCGUAGAGAUCAGGAGGAACACCGGUGGCGAAGGCGGCCUACUGGGCCAUCACUGACGCUGAGGCGCGAAAGCUCGGGGAGCGAACGGG
rnacentral:rRNA from 1 species